rnacentral:rRNA from 1 species
UUAAGUGACUAAGCGUACAAGGUGGAUGCCUUGGCAAUCAGAGGCGAAGAAGGACGUGCAAAUCUGCGAAAAGCUUGGGUGAGUUGAUAAGAAGCGUUUAACCCGAGAUAUCCGAAUGGGGAAACCCAGUAGAUGAAGAAUCUACUAUUGCUUAAUGAAUCCAUAGUUAAGCAAGGCAAACCGGGAGAACUGAAACAUCUAAGUACCCCGAGGAAAAGAAAUCAACCGAGAUUCCGUGAGUAGCGGCGAGCGAAAGCGGAGUAGCCGUCAGUGAUAGCAGUGUAUUAAGAAGAAUCGACUGGGAAGUUGAACGAAACAGGGUGAUAGUCCCGUAUUCGAAUGGUGCAUUGUGGUACUAGGCUGACAAUAAGUAGGGCGGGACACGUGAUAUCCUGUCUGAAGAAGGGGGGACCAUCCUCCAAGGCUAAAUACUCCUGAUUGACCGAUAGUGAACCAGUACUGUGAAGGAAAGGCGAAAAGAACCCCGGCGAGGGGAGUGAAAUAGAACCUGAAACCUUGUACGUACAAGCAGUGGGAGCCUGAAAGGGUGACUGCGUACCUUUUGUAUAAUGGGUCAGCGACUUAUAUUUUGUAGCGAGGUUAACCGCAUAGGGGAGCCGAAGGGAAACCGAGUCUUAACUGGGCGUUUUAGUUGCAAGGUAUAGACCCGAAACCCGGUGAUCUAGCCAUGGGCAGGUUGAAGGUUGGGUAACACUAACUGGAGGACCGAACCGACUAAUGUUGAAAAAUUAGCGGAUGACUUGUGGCUGGGGGUGAAAGGCCAAUCAAACCGGGAGAUAGCUGGUUCUCCCCGAAAUCUAUUUAGGUAGAGCCUUGAGCGGACACCUUCGGGGGUAGAGCACUGUUUCGGCUAGGGGGCCAUCCCGGCUUACCAACCCGAUGCAAACUACGAAUACCGAAGAGUGAUACUCAGGAGACACACGGCGGGUGCUAACGUCCGUCGUGGAGAGGGAAACAACCCAGACCGCCAGCUAAGGUCCCAAAGUUUAUAUUAAGUGGGAAACGAAGUGGGAAGGCUUAGACAGCUAGGAUGUUGGCUUAGAAGCAGCCAUCAUUUAAAGAAAGCGUAAUAGCUCACUAGUCGAGUCGGCCUGCGCGGAAGAUGUAACGGGGCUCAAAUAUAGCACCGAAGCUGCGGCAUCAGGAUUAAUUCUGUUGGGUAGGGGAGCGUUGUGUAAGCGGAUGAAGGUGAAUCGAGAGGUUUGCUGGACGUAUCACAAGUGCGAAUGCUGACAUAAGUAACGAUAAAACGGGUGAAAAACCCGUUCGCCGGAAGACCAAGGUUUCCUGUCCAACGUUAAUCGGGGCAGGGUGAGUCGGCCCCUAAGGCGAGGCUGAAAAGCGUAGUCGAUGGGAAACGGGUUAAUAUUCCCGUACUUGGUAAAGCUGCGAUGUGGGGACGGAGCAGGUUAGGCAAGCAAGGUGUUGGAAAUCCUUGUUUAAGGUGGUAGGUGGGAAGAUUAGGCAAAUCCGGUCUUCUUUAAACACCGAGAGCUGAUGACGAUUGUCUACGGACAAGAAGUUGCCGAUACCACACUUCCAGGAAAAGCCACUAAGCUUCAGGCUUUACUAAACCGUACUGAAAACCGACACAGGUGGUCAGGUAGAGAAUACUCAGGCGCUUGAGAGAACUCGGGUGAAGGAACUAGGCAAAAUAGCACCGUAACUUCGGGAGAAGGUGCGCCGGCGUAGCUUGUAGUGAUUAACUCACGAAGGGUGAACCGGUCGAAGAUACCAGCUGGCUGCAACUGUUUAUUAAAAACACAGCACUCUGCAAACACGAAAGUGGACGUAUAGGGUGUGAUGCCUGCCCGGUGCUGGAAGGUUAAUUGAUGGUGUAAUCAUUUGAGAAGCACCUGAUCGAAGCCCCAGUAAACGGCGGCCGUAACUAUAACGGUCCUAAGGUAGCGAAAUUCCUUGUCGGGUAAGUUCCGACCUGCACGAAUGGCAUAAUGAUGGCCAGGCUGUCUCCACCCGAGACUCAGUGAAAUUGAAAUCGCCGUGAAGAUGCGGUGUACCCGCGGCUAGACGGAAAGACCCCGUGAACCUUUACUAUAGCUUGACACUGAACCUUGAAUUUUGAUGUGUAGGAUAGGUGGGAGGCUUUGAAGCGGUAACGCCAGUUAUCGUGGAGCCAUCCUUGAAAUACCACCCUUUAACGUUUGAUGUUCUAACGAAGUGCCUGUAACGGGUACUCGGACAGUGUCUGGUGGGUAGUUUGACUGGGGCGGUCUCCUCCCAAAGAGUAACGGAGGAGCACGAAGGUUUGCUAAUGACGGUCGGACAUCGUCAGGUUAGUGCAAUGGUAUAAGCAAGCUUAACUGCGAGACGGACAAGUCGAGCAGGUACGAAAGUAGGUCAUAGUGAUCCGGUGGUUCUGCAUGGAAGGGCCAUCGCUCAACGGAUAAAAGGUACUCCGGGGAUAACAGGCUGAUACCGCCCAAGAGUUCAUAUCGACGGCGGUGUUUGGCACCUCGAUGUCGGCUCAUCACAUCCUGGGGCUGAAGUAGGUCCCAAGGGUAUGGCUGUUCGCCAUUUAAAGUGGUACGCGAGCUGGGUUUAGAACGUCGUGAGACAGUUCGGUCCCUAUCUGCCGUGGGCGUAGGAGAAUUGAGAGGGGCUGCUCCUAGUACGAGAGGACCGGAGUGGACGCACCACUGGUGUUUCGGUUGUAUCGCCAGAUGCAUUGCCGAGUAGCUAAGUGCGGAAGAGAUAAGUGCUGAAAGCAUCUAAGCACGAAACUUGCCUUAAGAUGAGUUCUCCCACUCUAUAAGAGAGUAAGGGUUGUUUAAGACUAAGACGUAGAUAGGUGGGGUGUGUAAGUAUUGUGAGAUAUUGAGCUAACCCAUACUAAUUGCCCGAGAGGCUUAACU